UUGUAAUUGUUUUUAUGUGUGAGGAAAAACUCACUCUGGGCAUGGUGACACACACUUGUCAUCCCUACACUGGAGGCACAGAGUCCGGAACGUGAGACGUUCAUCACCGUUGACUACAAUACCGAGUUUGAAGCCAAGCCGGGGCUGUACAAGACUCUGUGUCCAAACCAACAGACGAGGACUCUGGGGCUCAAGGUUACAGUGUUUGUCUGCGUGUGGACGGCUGGGAAGUGAGAGAACACGGCAGGAAAUCGAGGCAGGAAUUCUACCUUUACCUGGCCUUUCCUUCUCCUCUCAUCCAUCUUGCCACAAGGAUUCCCGGAAGAAGAGUCCAUCUCUUUUACCAGGGAUCUCUGUGGGUGGUGCCUUCUCUGGACGGUCACUCACAUGGAAGGAGUCACGGAGGGAGCCGUAUGCUGGGAGCCGUACGCUGGAGACAUUGAAGGGUUUACUCCAGCUGCUCCUGUGGCCUCCCAGAGCCCAGUGUGUCUGUCCUGGGACCAAGUAACCGUCAGGUUACCCCCAUCCCCCAGGCUUCUGCAGCAGCCACAGGAUGGAGCCUCAGCUCCUGCAUUGGCUCCUUGUCUUUUCUGUCCUUUGUUCUAACUCAGUGGUUGGUCAUAAACUCUUGUAACUCAGGUAACCCCAG
rnacentral:lncRNA from 1 species